AUUUCUUGGGUAGGGUUGGGAUUCAAUUUUCUCAAUUUGGGGAUUUCCAGAUUCCGAACAGCAGCUCCUUCCAAACUUCUCAAUUCCCGAAAAUACGAGAGGUGAAUUUUUCAUUUUUAUUAUUUGUUGUGUUCUUCUCUUGCGUGAGUAUCAAUCUUCUUGGUAUAUAUAUAUAUAUAUAUAUAUAUAUAUAUAUUUUCCGAUCCGAUUGGUUUAUUUUUGUGUUCAAUUCUUGGGUUUGUCUGUUUUGUCCUUGUUAACCCCCAAAUUUCUUUUUCUUUUUUUGGCAUUUUGGUAAGCUUGUUGAUCGUCGUGUGGUGCGACAGUUUUCAGAAUUCGUGCUUUUUGUUUUUUGUUCUUUUGAUUUUUAAUUUUUCGAUUUUAUGUGUCUUUUUAAUUGAUUUCUGAGUGCAACUACAAUUUGGGAUUCUUAACCUUUUCUACUUUCUAAUUAGGGUUUUGGUAAAGAAAUCUUUUUAUUUGCCUAAUGCAUGUGUUAAUUAACAACACAUCUACAAUCAAUUUGCUCCAACCUGGGAGAAUCAUAAAUUUUCAUUUGCUUGUUUUAUGUGCAAUGGUGAGUAUUUAAACUAGAUUUUUUAGCUCAAGGGGAAGGAAGAAAAUGGGAAGAUAAAAAUUAAAAUUACGGAGCUGAGGGUUCUGUCAAGUUGAUGCCUUCAAACUUAUGUUUUACUAAUUGAUGCCUUGAAAAUUAGAGUUUCAAUUUUUGGUACUAAGAAAUAAUUUUGCAAUGCUGGUUAUAUUCCCCAAUGAGCUACCUUUAGAUGGUGUUAUCAAGUGUUUUACUCCCUUCAAAGAUCAAGGAUGAGAUUCGUGUUUGGGUGCUUGAUUGUUACUUUUGACAUUGAAUUUUAUAUCAGCCUUUACAGACUCCUUUUUCUUGUAUUAGACAGAACUUGUAUUGCUAUAGCCCAUAUCGGUCGGCGAGUUUUGUGCAGUUUGAGACACUGAGUGCCACAUAUUUAUGAUAUUCAAUUAAAUUGAACAUUAACUCAGGGACUCGCAUAUUGUAGUCAAGCUCGCAUGCCCUGUGAUAUGUAUAGAUAAAUUACAUUAUGUUGUAAAUAUAUAAGGUGGAGCUCACCUCCAAUUGGAAGGAGCUUUGCCUACAAAAGGGUUCACUCUUCUCUUUAUAAUGCCAGAUUGAUAAUACUAAGAGAGGAACCAAUUCAAGGGUUUUUCUCUACUUCUAAAUUCUCUCUCAAAUUUCUUGGUUUUCUAACACGUUAUCAGCACGAAAAGCUUUAUUUUAUCGCACAUUUAUUUAUACUACUAACCAUUGUAUAAUAUAUAUAUAUAUAUAUAUAUAUGAAAAGUUGAUGGUAAUAUAAUAUGCUAUAUCUAUUUACUUUUCUAUUACUAACCACUAACAAAAAAUGGACCUUUGGUAAUACUAAACAUAUUAUCAGUGGGAGACCGUUACUAAUACUAACAUUUUUUUUAUUUUAUUUGGUGGUGGUUUUAACCCCUUAUUUAUUUUAAUUACUGUAUGGUGUAGUUUUAUUACCCAUACGACAAUAUUUAUUUAAAAGGGUGGCGCGGGUUUAUCGUCCACGCCUUUCUUUUUAUUUAAGAUAUGGUGCGGAAUUAACGUCCAUAUAGCAAGUAAUUUAUUUUAUCGCACAUUUAAUUUUAUUUAAGAUAUGGUGCGGAAUUAACGUCCAUAUAGCAAGCAAUUUAUUUUACCGCACAUUUAAUUGUAUUUAAGAUAUGGUGCGCAAUUAACGUUCAUAUAGCAAGCAAUUUAUUUUAUCGCACAUUUACUUUUACUUAAAGUAUGAUGAGGAAUUAACCCUCAUACUUUAUGAAUUUACUUUACCGCACAUUUACUUUUAUUUAACGUAUGAUGCGGGUUUAUCGUCCAUACAAGCAAUUCAUUUACCAAUAAUUUAAUUUACAAGCAAUUUAUUUUAUGGAUUAAUUGUGUUGUAUGAUGAGUUUUUUUUUACAAGGAUACAGAUCAAAACCAGAAGUUUCUUGAUCCUCAUCAUACAAUUACAUCAGGACUUGAAGAUCCUUGAUGAUGAUAUUGAUAUGAGAGCUAGCAGUCUCUCCAGUACUAUAUUUGUAAACAUGUGAUCGGACUUGAGGGUCCUUGAUUCUUGAUAUGUAAAUAAGGACAUGGGGUUCCUUAAAUGAUGUAACAAUACUAUAUUGGUUAAUAGUGCCGUACACAUAAAAAUAACUGUAUUGGCAAAUGUACUGUACACAUGAAUAGUGCCAUAUACAUAAAUAGUGAUGUAUGCAUAAAUAUUUACCAUUUUGGGUAACUGUCACUAUUCAAAAGGGAACCUGCAGUUCCUUAAACUCAUGGAUGAGCAAUUAAAUAAGAUGUCAGAAGUUCCUCAAGAUAUGGACAAUUAUGUAAGGGCUUGAAGUCCAGAAAUAUGUACAGAAAAUUGUAAAAAUGUCCAUACCAUGAGAAUAUGUGAUUUUGGCUUGAGGUUCAAAAUCUAACAGUAUUGAGAACCUGAAGUUCCAACAAUUAAAUGGACAACCCUUGAGUUAUUAUUGGAAAUUGUGGUACGCCACAUAUUUCUUUGGCAUAAGAGAAUGAUGAAUUUAAUAAAGUUCGAUUCUG
rnacentral:lncRNA from 1 species